AAUUUUUCCCCUAUCCCUCAGGUGCUGUGAGGUAUUUGUGAAAUUGUGAACGUUCAGCCAGGUGCUGUGAGGUGUGUCUUCUUUGAAAUUGUGAACUUAUUCAUCUUUCCUUGGCUGCGAUGGCUCUGAGAAUGAGACGAUGGCGAAAACGGAAAAGAGAACUCGAUCUACUUCUACGUUAUUCUGACAGUGAUGAACACCAGGGCACUGAAAAUAAUAGUGACAG